rnacentral:tRNA from 1 species
ACCCCUGUGAUGAAAUUGGAAAACAUCACCGAAUCAGAGUCGGUGUUUUGCAGGUUCGAUCCCUGUCAGGGGUA